UGGGGAAUAUUGCACAAUGGGCGAAAGCCUGAUGCAGCGACGCCGCGUGAGUGAAGAAGUAUUUCGGUAUGUAAAGCUCUAUCAGCAGGGAAGAAAAUGACGGUACCUGACUAAGAAGCCCCGGCUAACUACGUGCCAGCAGCCGCGGUAAUACGUAGGGGGCAAGCGUUAUCCGGAUUUACUGGGUGUAAAGGGAGCGUAGACGGCGAAGCAAGUCUGAAGUGAAAACCCAGGGCUCAACCCUGGGACUGCUUUGGAAACUGUUUUGCUAGAGUGUCGGAGAGGUAAGUGGAAUUCCUAGUGUAGCGGUGAAAUGCGUAGAUAUUAGGAGGAACACCAGUGGCGAAGGCGGCUUACUGGACGAUAACUGACGUUGAGGCUCGAAAGCGUGGGGAGCAAACAGGAUUAGAUACCCUGGUA
rnacentral:rRNA from 1 species